GGUCGUUUAGUUCAGUUGGUUAGAAUGCUUCUUUUACAUGGAAGAGGUCAUAGGUUCAAAUCCUAUAACGACUACCA
rnacentral:tRNA from 1 species